rnacentral:rRNA from 1 species
CAACUUUCAGCAACGGAUCUCUUGGCUCUCGCAUCGAUGAAGAACGCAGCGAAAUGCGAUAAGUAAUGUGAAUUGCAGAAUUCAGUGAAUCAUCGAAUUUUUGAACGCACCUUGCGCUCCUUGGUAUUCCGAGGAGCAUGCCUGUUUGAGUGUCAUUAAU